CCUACGGGAUGCACCAGUGGGGAAUGUUGCACAAUGGGCGCAAGCCUGAUGCAGCCAUGCCGCGUGUGUGAAGAAGGCCUUCGGGUUGUAAAGCACUUUCAGCGGGGAGGAAGGCGCCAAGGUUAAUAACCUUGGCGAUUGACGUUACCCGCAGAAGAAGCACCGGCUAACUCCGUGCCAGCAGCCGCGGUAAUACGGAGGGUGCAAGCGUUAACCGGAAUUACUGGGCGUAAAGCGCACGCAGGCGGUCUGUCAAGUCGGAUGUGAAAUCCCCGGGCUCAACCUGGGAACUGCAUUCGAAACUGGCAGGCUAGAGUCUUGUAGAGGGGGGUAGAAUUCCAGGUGUAGCGGUGAAAUGCGUAGAGAUCUGGAGGAAUACCGGUGGCGAAGGCGGCCCCCUGGACAAAGACUGAAGCUCAGGUGCGAAAGCGUGGGGAGCAAACAGGAUUAGAUACCCUCGUAGUC
rnacentral:rRNA from 1 species